AACGUAGGAGGCAAGCGUUAUCCGGAGUUACUGGGCGUAAAGCGCAUGUAGGCGGUUGGGCAAGUGGCGAGUGAAAGCUCCCGGCUAAACUGGGAGAGGACACGUCAGACUGCCCGGCUAGAGGUCGGUAGAGGGGCGCAGAAUUCGGGGUGUAGCGGUGAAAUGUGUAGAGAUCCCGAGGAAUACCAGUGGUGAAGACGGCGCCCUGGGCCGAUACUGACGCUGAGAUGCGGAAGCGUGGGGAGCGAACGGG
rnacentral:rRNA from 1 species